GUGGGGAAUAUUGGACAAUGGGCGAAAGCCUGAUCCAGCAAUGCCGCGUGAGUGAUGAAGGCCUUAGGGUUGUAAAGCUCUUUUACCCGGGAUGAUAAUGACAGUACCGGGAGAAUAAGCCCCGGCUAACUCCGUGCCAGCAGCCGCGGUAAUACGGAGGGGGCUAGCGUUGUUCGGAAUUACUGGGCGUAAAGCGCACGUAGGCGGCUUUGUAAGUUAGAGGUGAAAGCCCAGGGCUUAACCCUGGAAUUGCCUUUAAGACUGCAUCGCUAGAAUUGUGGAGAGGUAAGUGGAAUUCCGAGUGUAGAGGUGAAAUUCGUAGAUAUUCGGAAGAACACCAGUGGCGAAGGCGACUUACUGGACACAUAUUGACGCUGAGGUGCGAAAGCGUGGGGAGCAAACAGGAUUAGAAACCCUAGUAGUCC
rnacentral:rRNA from 1 species